rnacentral:lncRNA from 1 species
AAAUUUCAUUAUAUUGACAACGAUGUGCGAACAAAAACAAACAGACAUAAUAGGUAAAAAGGUCAAAAAUAGGGUUACAGCAGUCAGUUUUUUGUUUUAAUCUUCACCACUAUAAAAACAAGCAAAUAUUUGAAAAAAAGAUAAACUAAAAAGGAAUAUAGACAAAGCACAUUUGCAAAAAUGAAAGACAAGAAUACAAAAGCCAAUAUUAGGUGAAAUUAGCUAGUGAUUUCGAAUCAGCUCCAAAACUUGAUCCGAUCGCAUAUUUUACUCACACAGUUAAACGGAACUGCGAUAAAAAAAACACACACACAUUCAAAAAGUUACUAAAACUCGUAAUAUAAGUAUUCCGUAUUGUACACUGCAAAAAUCUAAAUAUUUUUCACAAGCUCGUCUGUUAUAUUUGUAUUUUCUUAUCCAAAACCCGUCUUAUAUAUCAUAAGGCAGACUUCAAGCAACAGGCUACAUCUGGUAUUGACACUGCUUGGUACAAGAAAGACGUAAAUCUUUUAGGAAAGACUAUGUAUAAGACAGAAAAAUAAAACAAUUUUCGUCUGACGAAAUAAAUUAUAAUCCUG